rnacentral:misc_RNA from 1 species
GAACGCACAUUGCGCCCGCUGGUAUUCCAGCGGGCAUGCCCGUUCGAGCGUCAUUUUAAUCUUUUCCCAGGAGACUCUUCUAUUCUGUAGUGAGAGUGUCAGCGGGGUGUUGGCAUUGGGCGCCUUAUUUUUAGGCGGCCGGAGCCGAAAUGAAGCGGCGGACUCGCGGCGGCCCCUAGCGCAGUAGAAACAACCCUUCUCGCUUAGGAGAGCUGCAGCGGCGGACCACAGCCCUAUAUGCUUUUUUUUUUUUUUUAAAAAAAAAAAAAAAGCUAACAUAUAUAAAAACUUGACCUCGGAUCGGGUAGGACUACCCGCUGAACUUAAG